UAAAUAAAUAAAUAGCGUAAAUGGUCUAGAGACUCAAACAAAAAAAGUAAAUUACACUGGUGUGCUUUAGCUCAGAUACUAAUUGCUUCCAGUGGCAUCAAAUAAUUCUAAACAUGGACUUAAUUCUUGUAAAACCACAUCAUUUAAGAAAUGUCUUUCUGCAGGUGAGGGGAGGACCAGCAAGGAGCUAGUAGGUGAACUGUGGUGCUGCAACAGGCUCCAGUGUUUAGGGAAGAAGCUUUGUGAUUUCCCACAGUGUUUUGAAACUCUGACUGCUGUACAAAUGCCUCCAGUGUAUUUCAAGUAUUGCAAUGGAAACUAAUCUUGCUCUCAACUACUCGAACAUGCAAGAAAUGUUCUACAUUUUAAUGUACAGGAGGGAAGCAGCCACUUCUAGCUAGCAAGAAAAGAAGUAAUGGGACUAUCCAAACAGGAUGUAUGUAUAAUGCAGUUAAAAAAACCAACAAACUGUUUCCAGACCUCCUCGGGACUUCAGUGCAUGUGCAGAACAUGCUCCUGUCCUUGCAUGGCAGCGCAGGUCCCUACAAGCCGGAAGAUGUGUUUCCCAUACACAGGAUCAAAAGACGCUCUCAGGUUUUACAGCACAUCUCCCAGUGCCAGUCUGGCAAAGAGCAGCAGCAGAGGUGGAACAGUGACCAACUCAACCCUUCGAUUAAAAAGGAGGGGGAAGUGGUUACUCUCAACAAGAAACAAAUAUUUUUGUUCCGAGGGAGAGAUGUACACAGGUAAGGAGUCCUAAUGUUACUUCUGAAAGCCCGUUUAUCCUUUGAAUAUUCACUGAAGAUAGUAAUUAUGCCUUGCAUUUUUCCUCAUUUCUGUAGUACCUGGGACAAAAAGCUCUAGCUAGCAAGGAAAAAGCUUCAUCACCACCCCAGUCUUCAGGUCAUGGAAUGCUUUUGUCCUUGCCAGACACUGCUGUCAAAGUCUGCACUUUGGGCAACUCUGCAAUCCCACUUUUGGAACCACCACAGACGAGGAAAUCAACUUCUAUCAUUAGAAAGUCCCGUAAACCCUCCUCCCCAAGCCUGCCAGUAAGAAGCUUCCUUCCUAGCUGGAAUAGCCAUCAGCAGUACUCAGCUGAUAGACUCAAGAUGUCUCCUCUGAUUACAUGUAGGAGCUGGGAACAAAGGGGAGAGGGGGACACAACAAGUCCCCAAAACAUAGUCCUUGAAGCACAAGUUGCAAGCAAAGGAAGUCAAAUAAUAAAGUUAUUCAAAGACUGUAAGAACAAGCAGGCUAGAAACAAAACCAGUACUUUGGUUUAAAACUCACUUUAGACCUACUGCAACUGAUAGAACCUGCUGGCAGAAAAGUCUCCAACAGCCUUGAAAGCAGGUUUUGUAAUAGUGCUUUUGAUAGGACACCUUACUUUAAGGUGAAGCAUCUGCUUCUACUGCAUGGGGUAGACAGUGUUUGACUCCACUGGGUGCAUGUUAUAAGGAUCACCUUCUCCUGAUGAGAGCAGAAAAUACUGCCAUGAGGGUUUACCUGCAGCAUGAGUCAUAGAAGACCUGCUUCCAGACAAGUGUGACAUGCGAAGGAAUAUAAAUAAAAUUGGGAGGAAGCAAAACAAUACCCUCAAGAGUGUGGAGAAAAGGAAAUGGAGACAGAAAAUGAGAUGGCGUGAAGACAUCCUCCUGGACUUUGAGAUGAUGUCCACCUGCCCCCAGAGCACUUCUCUGACAUCAAGCUGGAGCAGAAAAAUGAGGUUUGGGAACAUUUGCAGGUACGAAGACUGAUGGUGAUAAACCUCCCAGAACUGCUGUGCUGGUGGGCAGAAGUACAGCAGUAGUGCAUUGCUUUGCUAAUCUUGCUCCAUCAGCAGGGCUUGCCCCUCACCCCAGCUCCCUCCUGCAGUCCUAUGGCCUCCUCUCAUCCAACAGUGGGGGCCAGCAGAUGGUUUUCCCUGCCUUGCAAGGAACCAAAUCCCGAGAAACCACAUGGGCAAACCCAGCCUUUGCUCCCAAGAGCUGAUGCAAAACCCAAUGUGAGGGUCAGACACAGAGAGAAGGUAGCCAGCACAGCCCAGCUGCAUUUCUCUGCAGAUUGAGAGGGUCAGGUUUACAGCACUGAGCAAGCACCAGAAAAAUAAAUGAUUAAAGGAAAUUUGACAAGGAAAGGGGGUGGACGUGGGUAGAGAAACAGGAAGGAAGGAAAACUCAGAAGAUCUUGGAAGAAAACCAAUAGGUAAGAAAAGAAACAAAAAAAAAAAAAAAAAAAAAAAGAAAAAAAAAGAAAAAAAAGAAAAAAGAAAAGAAAAAAGAAAACAUCAGAAAUCAUCAGCUGAGUUUACCCAUGGCCAAAGUGGAAAGAAAUGGCCAGUGCAAGCAAGAUGCUGGGAGAUGCUGCCCUGCUCUGCUAGUUGCCAGGCUUACAGCAGACCUCUCUUUCCAGUGCUGGGUUCAUGUGACAACAGCUUCUUGCUUGCUUUUGGUAGUCUGCAGAAAUGGGGACCUGCUGCAGUUCCUAUCUCCUGUCAAUCAACUCCACAGUCUAUCUGUGCCUUUUUUAGUCAAUUGACCUCUUCUAUUUUACUUCUUUUUAAAAUUCUACACUGCUUUAGAAGCCUAAGUCCUACAAAAAUCAAAUGCUCCACUAAGCAAACAGGGCAUAUAUCAAAAACAGUCUCCAGAGCUGUACUUUUAGUUUCACUGAUCUCUGUGCCCUCUCCACCCCUGCACAGCUCUUGCAAGAAAGAUCACCUUGUGCUGUUACAAAAGGGGGGAAAAAAGGAAAAACAAAAAAAUCCACAUUUUUCAAUGAAUUUAUUGUAGGAGCAGUUCCUAUAUCCAUUCUGCUAGAGGGAAGGAAACUGAAUUUAUCGAUUCCUCAAGUAUGCCAGACCGUGUAAGAAAGAAAAAGAAGGUAUUGAAACCAACAGUUAAGUUGUAUCUCAUUCCUGAGCUCCGAUUUUCCAGCUUGGUCCUGAAGAAGGACAACUACCAUCAUCUCCCUGCAAUUUGGUGGCCGACAGGAAACAAUUUUGUGGUUUAAAUCCAGCUAACAGCAAACCAAGCCCAUGUCAAGAGCGAGCCUUGCCACACAACGCACUUUUGUUUGCAGCCUCAGGAUUUAAUUAAACAGGUAGAUAAAACCUACCUUUUAACCCACGCUCCAGGGUGUGCCUCAGUGAGAUAAAAAAAACAGGCUGCAAAAACAGGUCAAAGAUGAUUCCAGUGCUGGUGCAGCAUCUGUGCCGCACUCAAACACCAUCCCACUGCACUCCUCAAGGAGGGGAGCAGCACCAAAAAACCUCACUUUCUGGCCCAAAGGCAGGUUGGUUUAGUUUCUCUUUUUCAGUGCUGCAUUUGGGUUAUCCAUGGGCUGCAUGGGGCCAUAGCAGGAUCUAAUGUGCUGAGAAAUUAAAAAUCCAGCUCCCUUCCUCUUGUGGCAACCCUCUUCCCUUCCAGUUGUCUGACUGAACACCCUCUCCAUACGUCUUCCACCUACAACUUCUCUUCAAGGCAUUUUCAAAACAUAAGUAGAAAGAGUAGAAAGGGCAAAUCCCUUCAUUUUCCCCCCCUCUUCUUCAUCUGACAGAUCUAUUAUUCCCUUAUAAACAACAACUUCUCCCAGAGACUGAACAAAGCAGCUACUUACAUGUCAUAUUUUAAACAGGCAUGUUUUCAGGCCAAGAAAUAAACAGUUAUAUUUUGGCAAUCCUUCAUUUCCUGUCCUAUUUGUGAGCGAUAAUGUAAUAACACAGUGUGUCCCAUGCCUUCCUCCCUGGCUGAAACUUGCAGCAAAGUAAUUUAGCUGAAUGAGCUGCCUUUAAUACCUACAGAAAACUCAUUAGAAUGGGGCAUAAAUGUAGUGAAAAUGAAGGGAGGGAAAAUAAUUUUUUUUCAGCACAAAGGGCAAACUGCAAUACUGAAGGAUUCAGUAUUCAGAACAAACACUGCUGGUGUCUGCUCAGAUGUGGAGGGAAAUGAGAUUUUUGGAUGGUCAAAAGAACCAGCAAGAGCAAGUUAAGUCUAAUUUUCUUUCCUUAGACUGGAAAAAACAUAUCGGUGUGAUCUCACUCCACAUUUUGCCGUCCUGGACACCACCACAGCAACCCUAUACAUAUGCCACUUAACCCAGCUCGUUCAAAACCUCCGGGGGACCAGUCCUACUUGCAAACACUUGGCAGGAGCGCUCCCAGCUCACUGGAAUAAAUCAGGCGUGCGCUGGAGCGGCGGGGCCACUCCCGGGACACAGCCCGGCCAGGGUAUCGCGGCUCCAUCCCAAGCAGCGCAAGGCUGCGGACCAACACUUCCUCGUUCUCUGACCUUUUCCAUUUAAUUACUUCCUGUGACUUUCUUGGAACCAAGCAUCGGAACGAGCAGGCGGCAGCCUCCGGGCAUAACCGAAUCACUUUAAGGGUUCAGCUCCAUUCUCCUCCUCACAGGCGGAAAUCCACGGGCAGCCCAUCCUGGAUGGCUUCGGAGAGGGUCGCCCACAGCCGCUCAUCUUCUGGGUGCGGCGCUGCCCGAAAUCCCCCCAGCGCUCAGGUCCAGCACCGCAGCCUCUGAUUUAUGACCUGGCAUCCCCAUUCUGUCCCCACCCUGCAACGUGCGAGGCAGCACGGGCUGAGCGAGGGGCAAGGAGGAAAGCAGAAAUAAAGGCUGAGAUGCAGAGAGAGGCACUUGCUUGGCAAUGACAAACUGACCUCUAAGUAUUGAUCUGAAAUGGUGCAGUUCUGAAGGGACCGAUGAGUUUUCAGCAUCCUAAGUCCUGUUUGUUUCUCUUCUCGCUUUUAUAAAUUGCCUUAAAACUCUAAGCGUAAUUGAGCUGUUCUCAAGAAACUACUAAAAAAAAAAAAGGCAAAAAGAAGGGGGGGAAACCCUUGUUAUUUACUUGAAGAGGGUUAUUGUAAAAGGCAUCCUGACAGUGGUCCCUUUUUUUGUAAUCUGGCUGUUAACAUUUGCUCACAGUGCACUCAGUGAAACAAGAAUAGCUAUGCAAAUUAAAGCCAGACAUCUAGGGCAAAUAGCGCGCUAUACUACCAUUGUUCUGACAGCUUGAGAAAACUUAUCAGGAGAGCCUGUCCUUAUUUCUUUUAACACUAUAUAUAUUGGAGGGAAAAAAAAAAUCAAAUCACUUCACCCACCACUGAAAUGAAAAAACAACCCAUGAGUCACUGACUUCAGCAACACUAUCAAUCAAUGCAAGGCUGGAAGCAAGGAGCUUACCGAGGAAACCAUGGCUUACCAAAAACACCUCGCCAUGCCCUACAAAGCCAAGGCCUGCACUAAACCCUGACAGCCCAACCACAGCCUCCAGGAGAGCCACCUGGGACGUGCACUCAGGUAAGGACCAUGAGGCAUCACUGACCCUGAAAGUCAAUACAUCCAGAGUCCAACAAAAAAGCUUUCAGUGGCCUGGGAAUGGGUUGGGUACCAGCUCCCUGUGGUCACUAGCACUCUCAACCUCCAAGGGAUCAAAGGACACAGUGCUGCUGGCUUGACAGCUGACCCCAGGAGAGGUGGCAUGACCCAAGAGCUCCCACACACAUGAAAACCACUAGCUGAAGCCUCUGUCAGCAUGGCAGUGCAGCAGCACACGGAAGAAUUCACUCCCAAAACAAACUGCAGCCUACAGUCAGGGGAAAACAAUCCCCCACUUAACCAUCAGAGCCAAGUGCUUGGUGUUUUACACCAACACUCACCUCUGCACCGAGCGAGCCCUGCAGGGAAACACAUUUGGAACAGUAUCUGGCCUCAAGAUGAAGGUUGGAGAGCACCAGACUUACGUCCAUUAUUGGAAAUGAGUUGGCCACGUUUUUCCAGCCUGUUAGGUCAUGGCAAUCUGCAUGCAACUAGUUAUUUUUUGGUAUUUUUUGUUUUUUUUUUAAUUAUUUGUUUUGGUUUUUCUUUAAAAAAAUUCAAAAUAACCACGAUUUUAGAAGAUACAUAUAAACACGUAUUUAUAGUCUCUUCAUUAAGAGCUGCCAAAAUAACAAUUCCUCUCAACACACAUGUUGGGGUCAGAAGCCAUUUCUUUCGCCACUCACAUUUCUCCAGUAAAUCACCCUAAAAUACGUUUACCAUGAUGAAGGUGCAAGCAUGGCACAUGCCACUGAUUAUGAUUUUUUUGGACCUCAAAACCGAGCCAAAAAGUUGCACAAUUUGGACGCUGCUUUAUAAGCCCUGCAAGGAGUCGUUUUAAAGCACAGUACAUCCUAUGGCGCUUGGCACCAACCCAGUCCUGCACGCCAGUGAGUCAUUCCUCUUGACUGUCAAAACCCCGAAGGAGAUAGCCAGGAACAGCCCUUGGGCCAGCGCGGCGUGAAAGAGCCCUUCCUGCCAUUCCGCUGCAGUAGUUUUAGGUUUUAUUUUGGGGAAGAAUGCAUUAAAAAAGGGAAAAGGGCACCGUCGGGCAUUUUGAAAGGGUCGGUGCGGCCUCUCGGGGGUUUAUUAGCAGGGAGGCGGCGGGGGGCAGCGGAGCGGGGGUGGGCGGCGGGGGGUGAGGGUGAAUGGGGAGGCCGCCGGUGACCAGGUUUAUGAAUGCGGCGUCAUGUGACGGCGGCGGCGGCCGCCCUCCUAUUCACAAAACGGCGGCGGCCGGGGCGGGGAUCCGCGACGUCGUGUGUUCCCCCCCCCCCCAAGGUCUGCUUCCCGACCCCCCCAGGCCCGGGGCUGCAAGGCGGGGGCGCGCACCGGUCCCCCCUCCCAUCUCCGCCGCUUCCGCCUCCGACCGCCUCCACCGGGCGACCCGAGCCCCUCGGCCGGGGCGGGGAGCGGCGGCGGAGCGGGGCUGCGCCCCCUCCCUGCGGUGCCCCGGGGCCCCGCACCCCGGCGGGGCCGCGCCGCCCUCCCGGGGGUUUUUAUGAAUGAAAGGGCCGUAUGCAAAUGAGCGCGGCCCGGGGGGAGCGCGAAAUGGCGGAUGCGCGGGCGGGCGGCGCGCACACGAACGCGCGUGUCCGCGUCCUUCUGUCCGCCCGCGGCCGCUCCGUCUGUCCCUCAAUGCACAGCGUACGGAGAUGAGCGACCCGCACCGGUUCCCGCCGGGGCAACAAAGACUGGCCCCUGUUCCGUGCCCCCACCGGCCCGCCGCCCCCGGCCCCGCUCACUCGUCAGGGAACAGAAGUGGAAACUCGGAGAGAAACCUGAGGACUGCUAGUAAUGAGAUGGAGGCAAGAGCUGAUGAAAGCUUUGAGGUCUUCUCCUCAGGGAGAAGCAGUGUGUCCUUUGGAGGUGGUUACUGUGCCGGUUCUUGUAAGCGUGUUGGAGCUGACUGACUUUUCUGAAUGAAAAGGCUCUCUCUCAGAGUCAUUUGUACAUGUGGAGGAGAGUGUUGGUCUUCCAUUACAGCAGAAGGAACUACAGCCCAAAAAGAUGCCUGGGUUUCAGGAAGAGGAUUCAAACUCAGGAACAUUUGGGAGUCAUUUAAGACAGGAAGACAACAUCCACUCGAGUUUAAUUCCCUGUGCUUGUUUGUAUGUGUCUAGUUGCUUGGCUGUGAGUGGUGCAUAAGUCACCUGAGACUCUCCAUUCCUCUGUAAUUUACUGUUGGAAAGGACAGAAAUAAAUUCUAAAAAAUUUCUGAGACAUACCAGAAUCACUCCAAACUUAAAAGAAUUUUGGAGUAAAGUUAAAUGCUUCAAGCCUAAAUAGCAUGCUGCUAAUUAUGUCCUUAUAGUUUAUAUCAUCAUGGAUUAAAAUGAAAUGCUGCUGUGAAGGUGCCCCAUCAAACAGAACAUGGUUGUAGUUGUUUGCCUUGUGUGGCCUGAGUAAAAGUGCAUUUCCGCCCUAGGAAAAUCCUUUAUGCCCUGAUUUCCAAGUUCAAAAAUAACUCUCUACAGAUGAAACACGUUUUUCACCCUUUAAACUAGUGUUUUCACCUACAAAUACUUGCUGGCUAAACAACAGCCCUUUCCUUUGCACUUGUGCCAACAUGCAACUUGGAUAAAGAACUAAACUUAGAUUCAUAGUCAUAAUGCUUCCACUGACUUUUUUGGUUUUGUUUUUUUUAAUAAUGACUGUAAGACAUGUGCCAUCUCUCUCCCAAAUUUUAAUCUUUCUAAUGAAGGUGUGUUUGAAGAAGGCACACCCUUCAGAAGAUGUUUUGUGGUAUUGUCUUUAAGCCUUUAGUGUUGAGGACCAGCUGCCUUUUCAAUUUUAAAUGCACUUUUCAGGGUCUUACAUCACAGAGACCUAAAUUAAAACACACUUUUCAUAAAGAGGUGCAGCACAUGCAUUCAUCCUGGAAAUUGCACUGCGACAUGAAAGAUAUCCAAACCCUACAUGUAAUUUUGAAGAUGAGCAAGCCUUGGCCUUUCAGAUGUCCCACGUCAGGGUAGUGCACCCAUGUCCCGCAAAAUUGUAAGCUUCUGAAUCAUGGAAGCUGAAUCUUAAAGGCUCUAAUUCCCACUGAAUUAGAGGUGUUUGACUAUGUGUGUGGCUGUGAAAAUUAAGUCCAGUGCUGGAUCGGGGGUGGCUGACUGCCUGGUGCAUGUGAGCCUACACAGGAACACCUGUGGUCCAACACCCAGGGUGACCCAGGGAGAUGCAGAACUCAGUGAUGGGCGCUCUCACUUUGUGCCUCCCAGCUCAUCCUCCACAUGUUAUUCAGGCUCAGGGAUCAGGAUCUGGUGGCUCCCCAUGGCAUGAAAAUUUUCUUUAGUGGUUUGCAGGCUGAGGAGAGCUGGUCAUGCCUUGUAUAAAGAAUUAUCUGAUUAGUUCUAGAUGUCUUUCUCCUAAUUAAGGUUACUGGAGAAAAUUUUUCUUCUCUAGUAUGGUGGUACACACCAGGAGUAAGACCACUGCACCUUUAUUUCGGAUGUAUAUACCAUGGUGAGAGCAGCAGCUGGUCUUUAACUUCUCUCCCUGCAGCUAUGGAAACCUUGCCACAGGCUGUGCACCCCUGCAGAAACAGAGACCUCCUUUUGGGGUUCAUGGGUUUAAUGUCAAAUUCUCUCUCCAUAUACAUGGCUCCCAGGAACCAAACAGUAGCUUCAGAGAGCAAUCAGCUUCAUUAGCCUGCAGGUAUACAGAGGGAACCCCCAAACUUCAGCCUGAAUGAGACUUCCCUUCCUGCCUCUAUUCAAUGUCAGUUUCACUUGCAACUGUUCAGGGGAAAGAUUUUUUUGCAAUCUCUUUCAACUAUCAGAUACUGGCAAUCCCUCUCCUGGAGUGCUGUGGUUGGAGAGUAUCGUGGGCUAACUUGGAAGGGCAAGGCUCUCCCAUAUCUAAACAGUGCAGUAAAGUAUUGCAUUGAGUAUAGUUACUCAGCCUUCUGUAGGGUUACUGGGCUCAACACAAUGUCCUAGCCAAGCUCACAAGGAAGAGGAAAUAUGGGAAUAUACACCACCAGAAGACGCUGUCUCCCUUGACAUUUUUGUCUGUAAAACAAUGUCUUACAGAGUGUUUUUAACUGAAAGGUGUUGUUGGCCUCUUUCCUUUUCAUUUUUUGACUUCUGUUUCCUGUAGGAGGAUCUCUGGAAUUCCUUAAUGUUGUCAUCGAGUCCUAGGGAAUUUUUUUUCCCUCUUUUAGCUGUGCUACAUCUCCCAGGUUGCCAGCAAUGCAAAAUUGCUGAGGGAAGACAUUUCUGUUUAAACUGGAAGCCAUGAAUACAAGAGCUUAUCCUCCCAGAGGAAAUGUUGUUUUUACUUCCAUGUACCCAAUCUUACAUCUUUGCUUUGUACUCAGGUAUUUUCACUUGAUACUUCCCAGUUUCCUGGAAAUUCUGAUUUACUCUCUUGCUGAAUCUGUGGAACAAGAUACCAAAUCCAUCUUACUUGGAAAAAAAUAUUAAAGAAAGAACAAUAAAAUCUUAAUUGAAACAUUUUGCUGAAAAAAUGUCACAGCAUAGUGAUUUUUGAAACA